CCAUAAUAACGUUUUUUUUGUAAUUAAAUGUGCUUUUCAUGAUGGUAUCCUUACAUCACUCAAAUUUAUAAGCGCAGGCCUAAAUUUACCCCACGCCUUUUGGUAAGCGCAGGAGUGAGAAGAGGUUUUAAAUCAAUUAGCGCCCCGACGGCUAUUCAAGGAAAUACGGUAUGUGACGCGUCGACGCACAAAAACGGCGUCGACGUAUUUACGUAAUCGAUGACGUCGACGCGUCGUUUCAGCCUAAAUCUCAUUGUAAAGAGAAUUCCAUAGUUGAACCCCCACCACUGAUAUGCACAUUUGUUUUCAAGUUGUCCCUGAAUACCCAUGUUGGAAAUGACCUUUUCUUCUAUGCUCUUCAUUCUCACAAGUGAUGACAAACAUUUGUUGUAAAUUUGCUGGUAAUGUUUUACUUGUAGCCUUAAACGUGACACAUGAUGUCUGUAACUUUACUAGCUGCUGUAGUGUCAUCCAUCCAUCCAUUUUCUACCGCUUAUUCCCUUUGGGGUCGCGGGGGCGCUGGAGCCUAUCUCAGCUGCACAUGGGCGGAAGGCGGGGUACACCCUGGACAAGUCGCCACCUCAUCGCAGGGCCAACACAGAUAGACAGACAACAUUCACACACUAGGGCCCAUUUAGUGUUGCCAAUCAACCUAUCCCCAGGUGCAUGUCUUUGGAGGUGGGAGGAAGCCGGAGUACCCGGAGGGAACCCACGCAGUCACGGGGAGAACAUGCAAACUCCACACAGAAAGAUCCCGAGCCCGGGAUUGAACCCAAGACUACUCAGGACCUUCGUAUUGUGAGGCAGACGCACUAACCCCUCUGCCACCGUGCUGCCCCUGUAGUUUCAAUAAACCAUAAUUAAUAAAUAAUAUGUUAGUGUGUUCUAAGUGAUCUACUUUAUGAAUAAUCUUUUCUGUAGUUGAUACAAUGCCUUUAUGUUACUCUUAUGUGUUCCCCCACACUUCCACACAGUAGCUGAUGUAUGGCAAUGUAAGUGUGCACAAUUGCCCUAUAAUCUAACACAUAUUUGACCUUAUUUAAUAUAAAAAUACUCUUAGACAUUUGUUUCCGUACAUGUGCAAUAUGAGAUUUCCAUGUCAGACCGUCAUCCAGUAUCACUCCUAAAAAUCUAAGUUCAGAAACCCUUUCAAUAUCAAUUCCAUCUAUUGACAGUGUGAUCCUUUCCUCCCUUUUCCUCUUACAAGACAUCAUGAACUUUGGUUUUUUUUACAUUUAAUGAUACUUUAUUGACAUCAAACCGUCUCUUAAGUUGAAUCAUUUCCUGUUCAAUAAUGUUUGAUAAUGCUUUUAAGUCAUGUCCCGAACUAGAAAAGUUGGUGUCGUUCGCAAUUAAUACAAAUGUCAAUAACUUUGAUACCUCACAUAUAUCAUUCAUAUAUAAAAUAAACCAUUUUGGUCCCAAAACCGAACCUUGUGGAAGUCCACAUUCAAUCCUCAUGUGUUCAGAUGGAUUACCCACAACAUCCACAACCUCUUGUCUAUUAUCUAAAUAACUUCGUAGCCAGUCUAAAACUACUCCUCUCACACCAAAUGAAUAGAAUAGGGAUCCAUCUCGGUUCACACUCCAUUACAGUAGGUGGCGGUAAUGCACACCACAAGGUUGCUUGCCAACCGCCAUAAAAAAUCAGAAGAAGAAGAAGAAGAACGGGCGUGCGUGCGUGAGGGGACGUGACGUCUGACGUCACUACCCCUAGCGGUUUAGGGCACGUAUCCAGAACAUUCGGGAUGUCUGGACGCUAGCUGGAGGUGAGGCGGGAGCGAAGAAAAGUGGAAAAAGAGUGUUAUUCGUCAAAAAACCCACACGACGACGGUCAUUUUUUCGCCGUGCUAUUGUAAAAUGGUCUUUUAUCUGUGUUUUGUGUUCCGGCUCCAGAAUUUGAAAGUUCCGCGCGUGAAGCCGGUGAGUAACGUAGAAAAUGAACGUUUCAAAAGUUCAAUAAGGUUAACUUAGGCUAUCUUUUGCUCGACGCAGUGAAUGUGUGCAGGUUACAUGCUACGAUAUUCCACAUAUUUCCAAGUGGUUGAAACCAAAGCCUAUGACUUUAUUGUCAGUGUUGUUUGUAGGCCCAGGUCGCUAACGUUACUUUGUUACUGUCAACAACGUAACGUUAACGUUGAGGGUAACGUAGUGGAAACAGACGUUCUUUGCCUUGAUAAAUAUGCAGAGGACGACGUGUUUCAAAUAUUGGUGAAAUGUUUGAAUUAAGCAGUUACUGCAUAUGUGAAAGUUUUUUUGAAAUGAUCAGACUUUGGAGAAAAAAGCAAAAUCCUAAUAUGUUCAGAAGGGCUGUCUAACGGAGUCGCCCUCGCCAAUAAGGGAUUGACCACGUAAUGCAGUACACUAUACAUCAUCAUAUGCAUUUUGCAUCUUAAGUCACAUUCUCUGUUAUGUUCUAGUACCAUAGAGUGCUUGGAAAUAAAGUUUGUCAUUUUGAGCAACAUUUGUGAGUAUUUGUUCAUUUUAAAACACCAUUUGGUUAUGCCAUUCACCAUGAUUUGGAAAGAAAUGACAUUUGUUUAUUGUCUCCCUGCAGAUCUUGUGUGACGUCUCUGCGCCACACAAGAGAGUACAAAUCACACAAGAGACUGAGAGAGAGCAGAUACUGAUAGAGAAACUCAUGCACACAACCUUUGGCCUUCGCCGGCGACACAUUGUUCAAGGAAGUCCAGGGGUGCGGGAAUUCCUGGAGAACUGGCCGGCCUCACAGAGUUUCAUCGUAUUACAAAUGUGAAUCCACGCAACCAGUUCUACUGUGAACUUGAGCGCUACACACCAAAACUGGUUGCACUGUAUCGACAGAAGUCCUCAAGGACUGGAAAGGGAGCAGAGGCACUGCAAGAGAUGCUGAGAAUUGAUGACUUGGACGCCAGCUCCAGCUCGUGGUGUCCAAGACGAGACUUAAAACCAGGGGAGACAGGGCCUUCUCUGUGGUCGGCCCUAAGCUCUGGAACACUCUGCCCCUCCAUGUUCGAACUGCUCCCACAGUGGAGUGUUUUAAGUCUCGUCUUAAGACCCACUUUUAUUCUCUGGCUUUUAGCACUACGUGAGUUGUGUGGUCCUCUGUUGUCCUCUGUGUUUUUAAAAUUUUGCUUUUGCUUUCUAUUUACUGUUUUAAUUGGUUUUACCCUUUGAAAUUGUUUUUAAUCACAUUUAUUUUAUAUUGUUUUUAAUUGUGUUUAAUAUUGUUGUGCAGCACUUUGGAAACAUUUUGUUGUUUAAAUGUGCUAUAUAAAUAAAGUGGAUU